AAGCUUCUAGCUUCUACUAAGUUGUGAAGCAGAUUCUCCAGGGUGGGAGGAACCUUCCAGCCGGUUGGUAAAGGAGGUGAGAGCCGGAGCUGACGUCAGAGCAACGAGAUAUCCUUCAGUCUCUCGUGCAGGGACCUAUGGGGACACCGGAGGAGCAGUCCUGCUGGCAGUGAGUGCUGGCCUGUUACAUUACCAGGGGGUACUGUGCAUGCUGCUCUGCUUCUGUCAGUGCCAAACAAGGCAUUGAGGAGCAUUUAUUUACAGGCGCGUCACUGGCGGACUGAAGAAUGUGCAGACAUCACAGGAUGAGGGGUCCAGAAAAAACAGGCGAGCGCUUUUUUGUUCAGCAGCCGCUGACAACUUCACAACAACAGCUUCCACGAUAUACCGGAGGACAUGGCCAGAGCUCCGGAGUCUCCGUGGACUGUUUUACCCAGCGGGAAGCCCAAGAGGAAGCGUAAACUAAGGAGACAAAAGUGAAGCUGCAGGGCCGGCACCCUAACACGGCAAAGAAGCAACUGUUUAAACUACCGCUUCCCAGCAUUUUCCUCACAAAUGCCAGAUCCAUAAUGAACAAAAUUGAGGAAAUGAGGCUAUAAUUUGCGAAUAACAAAUGCCUUCAUUACUGCAUUAUUGCAAUAAUUAGAGACCUGGCUGCUACAGGGCUCAUCGCUAUGACAGGAACGGCCACUCUGGUAAGAGCGGAGGAGGUUUAUGCAUUUACACGAACAACAGGUGUAAAGAUGCAAAGACAGUAAACAACCACUCUCUCGCUCUCUCUCUCUCUCUCUACAUAUAUACCACCCGAUGCUAAUGCUAACCAGGCUCUGGGUGAGCUGCAUAACGCAAUAAGCAACCGACAGAACUCAUCCCGAUGCAGUGCACAUUGUAGCGGGGGAUUUAAAUCAGAAACCCUGGAUAACUAAAG
ensembl:lncRNA